rnacentral:rRNA from 1 species
GACGAACGCUGGCGGCGUGCUUAACACAUGCAAGUCGAACGGAAAGGCCCUGCUUGGGUGGGGUGCGUGAGUAGCGAACGGGUAAGUAACACGUGAGUAACCUGCCCUUGACUUUGGGAUAACUGCAGCUAACUGGGGUUAAUGCCGGAUAGCAGCGCCGGCUGCAUGGGGGGGGUUGGAAAGGUUCGGCGGUUGGGGAUGGGCGCGCGGCUUAUCGGCUUGUUGGGGGGGUGGUGGCUAACCAAGGCUUUGGCGGGUGGCCGGCCUGAGAGGGUGACCGGCCAAAUUGGGAUUGAGAUACGGCCCGGCCUCCUACGGGAGGCAGCAGUGGGGAAUAUUGCACAAUGGGCGGAAGCCGGAUGCAGAAACGCGGCGUGCGGGAUGACGGCCUUCGGGUUGUAACCCGCUUUAGCAUGUGACGAAGCGUUAGUGACGGUAAUGGGUGAAGAAGCACCGGCUAACUACGUG